rfam:Harpegnathos saltator strain R22 G/1 HarSal_1.0_2.contig4547, whole genome shotgun sequence.
AACCAGGACUUAUUAAAGUCCAUUAAAAAUACUGAAAAUUGUUCU